rnacentral:rRNA from 1 species
GCUGACGCAUUUCCCUCCGCCCUUGGACGCCGCCGCCCGUGGGAGUCGGUUGGGGCGUCUCUGCCUGGGUGUGGGAUCGCUAAUCAUGUCCUCGGGGUCAAGGGGAGUCGGCCGGCGGCGAGUAGGUCGGUAACCCACCGGACCCGUCUUGAAACACGGACCAAGGAGUGCGGCGCGUGCGCGAGUCAUUGGGUCUUGAACAGGCCUAUAGGCGCAAGUAACUGGAAGCUGGGAUUCCCGGACGCACCAGCGACCCGGUCGGCGUCUGAGCGCACGUGUUGCGACCCGAAAGGUGGUGAGCUAUGCUUGGGCAGGUCGAAGCCAGAGGAAACUCUGGUGGAGGACCGCAGCGGUUCUGACGUGCAAAUCGAUCGUCAGACUCGAGUAUAGGGGCGAUAGACCAAUCGAACCACCUAGUAGCUGGUUCCCUCCGAAGUUUCCCUCAGGAUAGCUGGCGUCGGAGAAUUCAUUUCUGGUAAAGCGAA